GAUGAACGCUGGCGGCGUGCCUAAUACAUGCAAGUCGAGCGAACGGACGAGAAGCUUGCUUCUCUGAUGUUAGCGGCGGACGGGUGAGUAACACGUGGAUAACCUACCUAUAAGACUGGGAUAACUUCGGGAAACCGUAUCUAAUACCGUAUAAUAUUUUGAACCGCAUGGUUCAAAAGUGAAAGACGGUCUUGCUGUCACUUAUAGAUGGAUCCGCGCUGCAUUAGCUAGUUGGUAAGGUAACGGCUUACCAAGGCAACGAUGCAUAGCCGACCUGAGAGGGUGAUCGGCCACACUGGAACUGAGACACGGUCCAGACUCCUACGGGAGGCAGCAGUAGGGAAUCUUCCGCAAUGGGCGAAAGCCUGACGGAGCAACGCCGAGUGAGUGAUGAAGGUCUUCGGAUCGUAAAACUCUGUUAUUAGGGAAGAACAUAUGUGUAAGUAACUGUGCACAUCUUGACGGUACCUAAUCAGAAAGCCACGGCUAACUACGUG
rnacentral:rRNA from 1 species